UGCCAGACUCCUACGGGAGGCAGCAGUGGGGAAUAUUGCGCAAUGGGCGAAAGCCUGACGCAGCGACGCCGCGUGAGGGAUGAAGGUCUUCGGAUCGUAAACCUCUGUCAGCAGGGAAGAACGGUCACUGUGCUAAUCAGCAGUGAAUUGACGGUACCUGCAAAGGAAGCACCGGCUAACUACGUGCCAGCAGCCGCGGUAAUACGUAGGGGGCAAGCGUUAUCCGGAAUUACUGGGUGUAAAGGGAGCGCAGACGGCAGUGCAAGUCUGGAGUGAAAGCCCGUGGCUUAACCACGGGACUGCUCUGGAAACUGUGCAGCUAGAGUGCAGGAGAGGCAGGCGGAAUUCCUAGUGUAGCGGUGAAAUCCGUAGAUAUCUGGAGGAACAUCAGUGGCGAAGGCGACUAUCUGGCACAUAACUGACGCUGAGGAGCGAAAGCGUGGGUAGCAAACAGGAUUAGAUACCCCCGUA
rnacentral:rRNA from 1 species